CUACGGGUGGCUGCAGUGAGGAAUAUUGCACAAUGGGGGGAACCCUGAUGCAGCAACGCCGCGUGGAGGAUGACGCAUUUCGGUGUGUAAACUCCUUUUAUAUGUCAAGAAAAUGACGGUAGCAUAUGAAUAAGCACCGGCUAACUCCGUGCCAGCAGCCGCGGUAAUACGGAGGGUGCAAGCGUUACUCGGAAUCACUGGGCGUAAAGGGCGCGUAGGCGGGUUGGAAAGUCAGGCGUGAAAUCCUACAGCUUAACUGUAGAACUGCACUUGAAACUUCUAAUCUAGAGUAUGGGAGGGGGAGAUGGAAUUAGUGGUGUAGGGGUAAAAUCCGUAGAUAUCACUAGGAACACCUAAAGCGAAGGCGAUCUCCUGGAACAUUACUGACGCUAAGGCGUGAAAGCGUGGGGAGCAAACAGGAUUAGAUACCCCCGUAGUC
rnacentral:rRNA from 1 species